GGGGCGAGCGACGAUAGGAGCUUGCUCCUUUGACGUUAGCGGCGGACGGGUGAGUAACACGUGGGUAACCUACCUAUAAGACUGGAAUAACUCCGGGAAACCGGGGCUAAUGCCGGAUAACAUUUAGAACCGCAUGGUUCUAAAGUGAAAGAUGGUUUUGCUAUCACUUAUAGAUGGACCCGCGCCGUAUUAGCUAGUUGGUAAGGUAAUGGCUUACCAAGGCAACGAUACGUAGCCGACCUGAGAGGGUGAUCGGCCACACUGGAACUGAGACACGGUCCAGACUCCUACGGGAGGCAGCAGUAGGGAAUCUUCCGCAAUGGGCGAAAGCCUGACGGAGCAACGCCGCGUGAGUGAUGAAGGGUUUCGGCUCGUAAAACUCUGUUAUUAGGGAAGAACAAACGUGUAAGUAACUGUGCACGUCUUGACGGUACCUAAUCAGAAAGCCACGGCUAACUACGUGCCAGCAGCCGCGGUAAUACGUAGGUGGCAAGCGUUAUCCGGAAUUAUUGGGCGUAAAGCGCGCGUAGCGGUUUCUUAAGUCUGAUGUGAAAGCCCACGGCUCAACCGUGGGAGGGUCAUUGGAAACUGGGAGACUUGAGUGCAGAAGACGAAAGUGGAAUUCCAUGUGUAGCGGUGAAAGAGCAAGAUAUGGAGGAACACCAGUGGCCAAGGCGACUUUCUGGUCUGUAACUGACGCUGAUGGUGCCAAAGCGUUGGGGAUCAAACAGGAUUAAAUACCCUGGUCGUCCACGCCCUUAACGGAUGAGUGCUGAGUGUUUAAGGGGGUUACUACCCCAUCCCGCUGCCGCUGAUUCAAUCACACACUCUCUUGAGAGAGGUCGACCGCCAG
rnacentral:rRNA from 1 species